rnacentral:misc_RNA from 1 species
AAGUCGUAACAAGGUUUCCGUAGGUGAACCUGCGGAAGGAUCAUUAUUGAAAUAAACCUGAUGGGUUGUUGCUGGUUCUCUAGGGAGCAUGUGCACGCCUGUCAUCUUUAUAUCUCCACCUGUGCACCUUUUGUAGAUCUGGAUAGCUUUCUGAAUGCUUAGCAUUUGGGUUUGAAGAUUGACUCUUUUGUCUCUUCUUCACAUUUUCAGGUCUAUGUUUCUUCAUUAUACCCCAAUGUAUGUUAUAGAAUGUGAUAAAUGGCCUCUGUGCCUAUAAACCUAUACAACUUUCAGCAACGGAUCUCUUGGUUCUC